GACGAACGCUGGCGGCGUGCUUAACACAUGCAAGUCGAACGGUGAUCUUGGGAGCUUGCUCCUGGGUGAUCAGUGGCGAACGGGUAAGUAACACGUGAGUAACCUGCCCCUGACUCUGGAAUAACUUCGGGAAACCGAAGCUAAUACCGGAUAUGACACAGAGCCGCAUGGUUUCUGUGUGGAAAGUCUUUUCGGUUGGGGAUGGACUCGCGGCCUAUCAGCUUGUUGGUGAGGUAAUGGCUCACCAAGGCGACGACGGGUAGCCGGCCUGAGAGUGCGACCGGCCACACUGGGACUGACACACGGCCCAGACUCCUACGGGAGGCCGCAGUGGGGAAUAUUGCGCAAUGGGCGAAAGCCUGAUGCAGCGCCGCCGCGUGAGGGAUGAAGGCCUUCGUGUUGUAAACCUCUUUCAGUAGGGAAGAAGCGCAAGUGACGGUACCUACAGAAGAAGCACCGGCUAACUACGUGCCAGCAGCCGCCGUAAGAC
rnacentral:rRNA from 1 species